CAUUAGAUGACUGAAAGCAAGUACUGGUCUCUUAAACCAUUUUAUAGUAAAUUAGCAAUUACUUCUAAGAAAAAAAAAAUUAGUUA
rnacentral:tRNA from 1 species